rnacentral:rRNA from 1 species
UGGGGAAUUUUGCACAAUGGAGGAAACUCUGAUGCAGCGACGCCGCGUGAGUGAUGAAGAUCUUCGGAUUGUAAAACUCUGUCCUUAGUGAAGAUAAUGACAGUAACUAAGAAGCAAGCCCUGGCUAAAUACGUGCCAGCAGCCGCGGUAAUACGUAUGGGGCAAGCGUUGUCCGGAAUUAUUGGGCGUAAAGGGUACGUAGGCGGUUUAAUAAGUCCUAAUUAAAAGGCUAUGGCUCAACCAUAGUAUGGUUAGGAAACUGUUGAACUUGAGUAGAUGAGGGGAAAGUGGAAUUCCAUGUGUAGCGGUGAAAUGCGUAGAUAUAUGGAGGAACACCAAUGGCGAAGGCGACUUACUGGACUUAAACUGACGCUCAGGCACGAAAGCGUGGGGAGCAAACAGG